rnacentral:misc_RNA from 1 species
GUGAAGAACGCAGCGAAAUGCGAUAAGUAAUGUGAAUUGCAGAAUUCAGUGAAUCAUCGAAUCUUUGAACGCAUCUUGCGCUCCUUGGUAUUCCGAGGAGCAUGCCUGUUUGAGUGUCAUUAAAAGUUCUCAAACCACAUACUUUAUUGAUGUGGCUUUGGAUGUGGGGGCUUAUCUUUUUGCAGGCUUUUUUCCAUGAAGUCUGCUCCCCUGAAAUGCAUUAGUGGUAUCUGAGCAGAAGAAACUACUACAGGUGUGAUAAUUAUCUACGCCUUGGUAUGCUGCAUAGACAGAUUGUGCUGCUUCUAACGAGUGGAAACACAUUUGAUGAAUUUGACCUCAAAUCAGAUAGGACUACCCGCUGAACUUAAGCAUAUCAAUAAGCGGAGGA